rnacentral:rRNA from 1 species
GACAGAGGGUGCAAACGUUGCUCGGAAUCACUGGGCGUAAAGGGCGUGUAGGCGGGAAGGAAAGUCAGAUGUGAAAUCCCCAGGCUCAACCUGGGAACUGCAUUUGAAACUCCCUUUCUUGAGUACCGGAGAGGAAAGUGGAAUUCCUGGUGUAGAGGUGAAAUUCGUAGAUAUCAGGAGGAACACCAGUGGCGAAGGCGGCUUUCUGGACGGUAACUGACGCUGAGAACGCGAAAGCGUGGGGAGCAAACAGG